AGGUGUUGGGAGUCUCCUACCUCCACAAAGGAACGGGCAAAGGAGGAGACCGCAAGCCAGGCUUUGCCCUGGGCAGGAAAUGGUAAGGUGCCUCCGUCAGUGAUGGCUCUUGGUGGUUUCUAGAAAGGAAAGGAAAUAUCAGUGGUGAAGCCAUGGCCAGGUCAUAGAGGAAGGAGCGGGGGAUGGGGGCCGGGCAGCUGUCGUUACAGGAGUGUUUAGCUGUGACCUAAAUAAGGUGUCCUUGGUACAGAGAGGGGGAUGGAAAAUUAGAUAUAGAUACAGAUACAGAUAUGCUACUUUGAAUCAGGGCCAGAAACACAUUUGUUCCUCUCCAGUUUAGAAACCAUGCCCAAACUCUAUACACCCAACUCAAAGCAGAUAGCAUAACUAAAGGUUACUACUUCCCACCACAGGGCCUUUGCACUUGAUGUCUACCCCCUCUCCCCCCCCCCAUCCUCCUAUGCAAAUCUCUCCCUCCAUCACACUCAAAAAGCACUUCCCUAGAGAAAUCCUCCCUACUAGGGCAUUAUCUGGAGCAGCCUCCUGCGCCCUCAGGCCCUCUGCCCUGCUUUAUUGUUUUCACGACACUUGUUACUACUGGAAAUUGUUUCCUUUGUAUACAGGACUGCUUGUUUAUUUCCUGGCUCCCCUCCCUGGAGCCUCCCUAGAGCUCCCCUUGCUAAUGUAAGCUUCCUGAGGGCAGAGAGGGCUGGGCUCUUUCAUUCAGGUGGUUGUAUCCAAUGCACCAGAACAAUGCUUGGUUGUGUAGGCUCCUAAAAAAUAUUUGUUCAAAGACUUGAAAACAAAACAAGAACUCUACUGCCUUUUUCCCCCCUCUCUCCCCAGGAAGACUUUUGAAACAAACAGGCCAGCGUGUUCCUGAGAAGGAGGGUUUCAGGUCCAAAUAAUUAGCAGCGGAGGAAGCGAGAGGAGCGCGUCUGUGUCCUUCCACAAGCUCCAAGGUAGCCAUGCUGAUCGUUCUGCAGCUAUUUUUACUUAUCCUGCUUCUGAAAGAAAUGUCCUCCUGCAGCGUGAUAACCCUGCUGUCUAAGGGUGUGCCAGCCAAGGAGAAGGCAGUUAACCCUUGCCAGGGAGGACUCCGGGAGAGGAGAGGGAGCAACACUGAAGCCAUCCUACCUGUGGCCGUGGACCGCAGAGGACAACCCGAGGAGGUAGAGGGGUGGUGCCCAGAAGGGAUCCGGAGCCAGGGGUCCUGCUCUGCAAGGAGAAGAAGUCGGGGUCAUAGUGAGAGAAGGCUCUGAGCACAGGCUUAGCCCGUUGGCCUUCCCUUGUCCUGCAGGGUCCCCUGAGCUAUGGGAUAAGAAGACAGAGGGUGUUGGAGAGAGGGAUUUGUGCUCACCCAAGCAGCAGGCAUCCCUGGCAGGAAAAGAAACCGAGCAACUUACUCCAUAAGUCAAGGUUAUUAACUAGAGAAGAUCAGAUCGUGGCAGUCAAAUAACCUUGCACUGUGUAAAAUGUAAAUGCUGAACAGCUGCCUCUGAACUAUCAGUGGUGUCUGGAAGUUUCCCUGGGCAAGAGAAGCACACCGCAACAGGGGGAGAGGUGCCAGGGGGGAGGUGUUUCUGCCCACCUCUUCUCGGAGCUUGCAGUGGCUUCGCUUACCCUUCAGCCCUGGCCAAGACGGAUGAGAACGGCUGGCCGUGGAAAGAGUCUCCUGGGAGGAGGCAGUGCUCCCGGGCUGGGGAACUCUCCGAGGAGGCACAGAGCCCCGCCCAGAGCGCCUCUCAUCCCAUGGUGAAGUCCAGGCUGUGGCUUGGAGAGCUCAGAAAUGUCCUUUCCAGAAGAGCCCUCUGAAGGAGAUGGAAAACCUCACGAGGGGCUCCCUGGGCUCAGCCCUCCUGCAUUCAGAGGCGAGUAGGGCAGGUUGAGAGUGGGGAGUGGGUAUUGGAAACAAGGAAUCUUUCCAUAAGUCAGGGAGACACUGGAAGCAGCUCAGGCCUGAGAAUCCAGCAAAGUCAAAAAUGUGCAGAGAACAGAGAGCAGGCAGGAAGCAGAGGAAGGUAUAGAGGGAGGCCCUGACCCAAGAUGGGAGACCCUGCAAGGGGUGACCAUGUACGGCCAUAUGGCUCCUUUCCAGAGAUUUCAGGACGAAUUCCAGAGAUUUCAGCCCUUUCGCUGCUGUGCACUGGGGCCAGCCCAGCCUCAUCUGGGAUUUGGGGUAGACUCUGAGGUCCCAGCCAUAGGGUUUACAGGAGAGAGGCAUCAUGAGGCCUGGCAUGGCAAGUUCUGGGCAUAUUGCAG
ensembl:lncRNA